AGAGAGAGAGAGAGAGAGAGAGAGCGAGAAGAAAGAAAAGGAAAACAGAGUCGUCAAUUUUUCUGAAUUUUUUUUUUCCUUUGCUUCUU
rnacentral:ribozyme from 1 species